UGGGAAUUUGGAUAAUGGGCGAAAGCCUGAUCCAGCAAUGCUGCGUGUGUGAAGAAGGCCUUCGGGCUGUAAAGCACUUUUGUCCGGAAAGAAAUCCUUGGCUCUAAUACAGUCGGGGGAUGACGGUACCGGAAGAAUAAGCACCGGCUAACUACGUGCCAGCAGCCGCGGUAAUACGUAGGGUGCAAGCGUUAAUCGGAAUUACUGGGCGUAAAGCGUGCGCAGGCGGUUCGCUAAGACCGAUGUGAAAUCCCCGGGCUCAACCUGGGAACUGCAUUGGUGACUGGCAGGCUAGAGUAUGGCAGAGGGGGGUAGAAUUCCACGUGUAGCAGGUGAAAUGCGUAGAGAUGUGGAGGAAUACCGAUGGCGAAGGCAGCCCCCUGGGCCAAUACUGACGCUCAUGCACGAAAGCGUGGGGAGCAAAACAGGAUUAGAUACCCCUGGUAGUCCACGCCCUAAACGAUGUCAACUAGUUGUUGGGGGAUUCAUUUCCUUAGUAACGUAGCUAACGCGUGAAGUUGACCGCCUGGGGAGUACGGUCGCAAGAUUAAAACUUAAAUGAUU
rnacentral:rRNA from 1 species